CACACUGGCACUGAGACACGGGCCAGACUCCUACGGGAGGCAGCAGUGAGGAAUUUUGCGCAAUGGGGGCAACCCUGACGCAGCAACGCCGCGUGUGGGAAGAAGGCUUUCGGGUUGUAAACCACUUUUACCCGGGACGAAAAGGGGAUGUCGAAUACACAUUUCCGAUGACGGUACCGGGAGAAUAAGCCACGGCUAACUCUGUGCCAGCCGCCGCCGUAACAC
rnacentral:rRNA from 1 species